GGUAGGAUGGCUGAGUAUUAAGCGGUGGAUUGUAGUCCCAUAAACAGAGGUGUAAAUCCUCUUUCUAUCA
rnacentral:tRNA from 1 species